rnacentral:tRNA from 1 species
GCAGACGUGGCGAAAUCGGUAUACGCAAAGCACUUAAAAUGCUUCGAUCAUUGAUCAUGCGGGUUCAAGUCCCGCCGUCUGCACCA